GUGUGUGUGUGUUUUCAAGGUGUUUUGGAAAGGAUAGGGAUGUUUUUGUUAUUGUUGUUGUUGUUUGUGAUGUUUUUUGCAUGUUGUUCUAUUUCCUGGGUGUUUUUGGGAGAGAUAACUGGGUUACUGAUUUUUUAGGGCGGUGUUUCAUCAGCAAAUAUAUAUAGAUGGCGCAGCUGGCGUCACUGCAAAUAUAUAGAUGGCGCAGCUGGCGUCACUGCAAAUAUAUAGAUGGCGCAGCUGGCGUCACUGCAAAUAUAUAGAUGGCGCAGCUGGCGUCACUGCAAAUAUAUAGAUGGCGCAGCUGGCAUCACUGCAAAUAUAUAGAUGGCGCAGCUGGCGUCACUGCAAAUAAAGGCAUUGCAUAAAUGGUCUGUCUGGCGCUAUAAUGCUUCAUCAGUGACCAACAAAAUAAACACUCUAUGUAUUAUCUUCAUCGCUAAUCCUUGGUGUUAGUUGUCAGUUGCUGAAAUGAACAAGGCCAGCCUCCAGGAAGGUGGUGACUGUGAAGCCGUGUCGGCAGCCAUCUUGGAACAUUUGUAUCGAUGUGAUGUAAUCUUAUGUAUAGAUGUGUGUGGGCGUGUUUAGGCGUGUGUGGGCGUGUGUGUGGAGGUGUGGAUACGUACAGGCAUGUUUGGGUGUGUGUGGGUGCAUGUGGCCUUAAGUGGGCGUCUGUGGGCGUGCAUUUCCUUACGUAGGCGUGUGUGGAAGCAAGUAUGGUUUUAUGUGGGCGUAUGUAUGGAUGCGUAUGGGCGUGUAUGAAUGCCUGUGGAUGCGUGUGGGUGUGUGGGCUCGCGUGGGCGUGUAUUUCCUUGCGUGGGCGUGUGUAUGUAUAGCUUUAUGUGGGCGUGUGUAUGGACGAAUGAAUACGUAUGGGCGUGUGUGAACGGCUGUGGAUACUACAUGUGUGUGUAUAUGGACGUGUGUGGGCGUGUAGUGAAGCACGCAUGGCUUCGUGUGGCGUGUGUGGGCGAAUUGAAGGGUCCAGCUCCGUUGGCAGCCCGCCAUGAAAACAUGACGUCAUCGAGAGUCGAGACCCAGACCGAGACCUUCCCUCCUCCUCUGUGUCUUUUGGUCGAUGUUUCCCAAAAUUUCCAAUGUUUUUCGGCCACUUCCGGGUAAUUAGAUAUACUACUACUACUACUACUACUGCACCACCUGUCUUGCCCCACUGCCGCCCGCUGAUGCACCACCUGUCCUGUCCCACCGCCACCCUCUCGUGCAUCACCUCUUAUCCUGCCCCGCCGCCGCCUGCUGGUGCACCAACUCUUGUCCUGCCCCACUGCCGCCCGCUGGUGCACCACCUCCUGUCCUGCCCCGCCGCCGCCCGCUGGUGCACCACCUGUCCUACCACGCCGCCACCCUUUGGGGUUGGUGUGUGUGUGUGUGUGUGUCAAGGUGGCGGCCAGGUCACUUUACAGCUGACUGUGCUCCGAGUUUUUGCCAUUUUGUGGGUUCCUGAGGGCUCCUGGAGAUCCAGACGACAUCUCACGUUAUAUGAAUGCAGUAAGACCUUAGUGAGCAACUUUCGUCUUGGCAGUGGGAACCCAGAAGAUAGAAGGAGUCGUAAAAAGAAGCUGCCGUCUGGGAAAACACUUCCUCAAAUCGCCAACUCCUGCCGGCGCUUGUGCAGUAGGGGUUUGACGUCACACCGUUACCAUGGCAACCAAACAGCUGUCAGACUUGCAUAAAUUUCAGCGUAAUCAACUAGCAAAGAUUAACAAAGAAGAUUUAAUAGACUCCAUACUAGCAUCUGACGCACAAGAUGGUGAGCUGGCUAAACUGAACAAGACACUUGACGAGGUUAUGAAUGAAGUUAAAUUACUGAGAGACAUGAUUACUUCCCCAGAGAGUACACUGAACCAGAACUACACCGAACUCGAGGCUCAGGUCGACAAGCAGGCUGAGGUAAUGGUGAAGCAGCAGCAGUUCUUAGAAGCACUUGAUUGAAAAGAGCGAGAGGCGAACAUCAUUAUCUUGGGUGUACCGGAUGAACACGACACACUGGAAGGUGCCGCGCAUGACGAGGAGAAAAUGAGCAAGAUUUGGUCCAAAAUGGGUGUAGGCAGUGUGAGUGGUACUCAUCGUCGGCUGGGUAACAACACUUCACUCGGCACCAGGCGACGUCCCAUCCUGUUCACGCUGGCUGAUGAGGGACAACGCAGUACCAUCCUGGACAACGCCAACCGCUUGAAGACAUCUGGUGACAAUUACAACAAGAUUUAUGUCAAGGAGGAUGUCCACCCUUGUGUGAGGAGGGAGUGGCGACGAUUACGGGAAGCAGAGACGACAGAGAAGGCACGACCAGAGAAUGCAGGCUGUGCGGUACGUCUGGACACGAGGGAAGGGAAGCUGUAUAGGGAUGCAGAUGUGAUUGAUAGCUGGAAUCCUCAGUUUUUUUUAACAUCACCACAGCAUACAAGAAAGAUAAGAUCAAUGUCGUGGAACACAGGUGGAGUGCGCACAAAGUUAGAAAAGGCAGAUGUACAACAGAUGUUACAUGAUUACGACAUAAUUUGUAUUAAUGAAGUUAAAACAGCUAUGCCAGUGUCUUUCCCAGGUUAUGUGACGUGUAAGAGUAAAGAAGUUGGUGCUGCAGAGCGAGGUGGAACAGUUGUAUGUAUUAACAACUGGUCAUCUACUUCAGUAUUUGAUGUUGACACAAGCACGGGAGAUCAAGUUUGGAUGCAAUUUCGCAAUGUUGAGGGUGAACCAUUUGCCUUUUGUUACAUUCCUCCUUGUGACUCUCCGUAUUACUCCCAUGGCUUACUUGCCUCUAUUCAAGUGAAGGUAAAUUCUAGGUACAUGCAUAAAGGAUAUUUCAUUGUUGGUGACAUGAAUGCGAGAUUUGGGAACAGUGUGAGGCAAUUAUUGUCAUUAACAGAGAUACCUGAUGUGAACAACAUGUCAUACCCAGUGAUCCACGAUGAUGUAAACAGUGCUGGUGACAAUGCUGAGGUGUUGUCUGCUAUGUGCAUCGAUAACAAAUUACUUGUCAUUAAUAACCUCAUGUGUGGUGACAGACAUUUUCCUGGUGACAAAACAUUCAGAACACGUGACACUUGGAUCUCAGAGGUAGACACACGUGUGUAGCGUCUCCAUCUCUGAUUGACUGUUAAGCGAUUGUACCGUGUUAAGGCGAGGUGAUCUGCCUUCCGAUCAUGCCCCCAUUACAGUAACGGUAACUUGUACAGGUGUAGAUGUGGGGAGUCUCAGGACGAGGGCUGCGUCACUGGGAGAUCACGCAACCCUUCAUGGCAAUGCAGCAACAAUUGUUUAUUAAGGAAGUCUCUAAAAUUUCACAGAAUCAAAAAAGAAAGAUUUGUGCAAGACAUUAUGCAAAGGAUGUCUCAUGGCGAAGAUACUGAUGUUGACGCCUUUGACAAAUGUAUUAGUGAUGUACUGUAUUCGUGUGUGGAGGACAGUUUAGACAGUGGUGACAGAGCAACAAUGACAGGUAGUUGCAAUCCUGGUAGGAGGGAAAGACUGCUGAGUGAGUCAGAUGAUGCAGCAGUAUGGAGAGCUACUGACUGGAAAGGCGACUUUAACAUUGAUAGAACUGAUGACAAUUUGUGCCCCAGUGAUGAUGAUUUUAAAUGUCACUCUGAGUCUGUGCUGGACCGAGAGGAUGUGCACAAUGAUAAUGCAGAUGAUGUAACAACUCCACCAACAACAAAUGUCACUAUCCCAAUCACUAAACAAUUCUGUAUUUAAGUUCUCCUCUACGGCAGAAUCGAACUGGGAACCUUAGCGCACGGGUAAAGGACUGUGCCAAAGAGCUACCUGGCGUACAAAGAGAGAGAGAGAGAGAGAGAGAGAGAGAGAGAGAGAGAGAGAGAGAGAGAGAGAGAGAGAGCCUGGUGUGUUCCAUCGCCUCGGGUCACGUGUCAGUGUUCAGCCUGCCCAGUCUCCGCCAGCUCAUUGACAUUGAUUUCCUUCCUCUCGUCAACCUCAGGCAUUGUCCAUGAUGCUUCCUGUGUUGUGGUUCCAUCAUGGCAGGCAUGGAAGUGCCUCUCACUGCAUCACCGCCUCAUGAUCAUUGAGAGCAUGGACACAGACACUGAGGCCCUAGUGGGUACGUGGACCUCCUC